UACGUAGGGUGCGAGCGUUGUCCGGAAUUAUUGGGCGUAAAGAGCGUGUAGGCGGUCAGGUAGGUCCGUUGUGAAAACUCGAGGCUCAACCUCGAGACGCCGAUGGAAACCAUCUGACUAGAGUCCGGAAGAGGAGAGUGGAAUUCCUGGUGUAGCGGUGAAAUGCGCAGAUAUCAGGAGGAACACCGGUGGCGAAGGCGGUUCUCUGGGCAUUACCUGACGCUGAGGAGCGAAAGUGUGGGGAGCGAACAGG
rnacentral:rRNA from 1 species